rnacentral:rRNA from 1 species
UCAAGCAAGUAAGGGCGUACGGUGGAUGCCUUGGCAUUGGUAGGCGAUGAAGGUCGUGGCAAGCUGCGAUAAGCCUCGGUGAGGAGCAAGCAUCCUUUGACCCGGGGAUCACCGAAUCGGAAAACCGACUAUGGGUGAACCCAUAGUAUCUGUAACUGAAUUCAUAGGUUGCAGAAGCUAACCUGGGGAAUUGAAACAUCUAAGUACCCAGUGGAAGAGAAAGCAAUAGCGAUUCCCUGAGUAGUGGCGAGCGAAACGGGAACAGCCUAAACCGGUCUUUACGUUACAGCCCAGGAGCGCUGUAGGAUCGGGGUAAUAGGGUGUGGACUGAGGGUGUCCUGGAACCUUCGGGAAGUUACAAAGUCUUAAUCUAGUUGAAGCCGCUGGAAAGAGCGCCAAAGAGGGUGAUAGCCCCGUAAACGAAAGAUUAAGACCUUCCUGGUUCACAUACCUGAGUACCGCGGGACACGAGAAAUCCUGUGGGAAUUCACGAAGACCACUUCGUAAGGCUAAAUACUCACCAAUGACCGAUAGUGAACAAGUACCGUGAGGGAAAGGUGAAAAGAACCCCGAGAGGGGAGUGAAAUAGAACCUGAAACCGUAUGCUUACAAGGUGUGGAAGGGCUAUGCUUGCAUGCCUGACCGCGUGCCUUUUGUAGAAUGAGCCGGCGAGUUACUCUAUAUAGCGAGGUUAAGUGAUAGUAAUCACGGAGCCGGAGCGAAAGCGAGUCUGAAUAGGGCGAUUAGUUAUAUGGAGUAGACCCGAAACCGAGUGAUCUAGCCAUGGCCAGGUUGAAGUACCGGUAAAACGGUAUGGAGGACCGAACGGUUGUGUGUUGAAAAACGCUCCGAUGAGUUGUGGCUAGGGGUGAAAGGCCAAACAAACUCGGCAAUAGCUGGUUCUCCUCGAAAUAUCUUUAGGGAUAGCCUCGUGUGUUUUGUUGCGGAGGUAGGGCUCUGACUGGGCUAGGGGGUCAACAAACUUACCAAACCCAUUUAAACUUCGAAUGCCGUAACUUUAGAACACGGGAGUCAGACUACGGGGGCUAAGCUCCGUGGUCAAAAGGGAAAUAGCCCAAACCAACAGCUAAGGUCCCGAAAUGUAUGCUAAGUGAUAAAGGAGGUGGAGUUGCUUAGACAGCCAGGAUGUUGGCUUAGAAGCAGCAACCAUUCAAAGAGUGCGUAACAGCUCACUGGUCGAGUGACUCUGCGCCAAAAAUGAUUGGGGCUAAGCAUACUACCGAAGCUUUGGACUCAGUAAUGAGUGGUAGAGGAGCGUUCUAUACGGGCUGAAGGUCGAUCGUGAGGACGACUGGACUGUAUAGAAGUGAGAAUGCCGGCAUGAGUAGCGAUAAAACAUGUGAAAAACAUGUUCGCCGAAAGCCUAAGGUUUUCUGGGCAAUGUUAAUCAACUCAGAGUUAGUCGGCCCCUAAGGCGAGGCCGGAAGGCGUAGUCGAUGGGAAGCAGGUUCAUAUUCCUGCACCACCCGGUGGAGGUUAUCGUGAUGGAGUGACGUAGAAAGAUAUGGGCGCAGGGCGUUGGUCGUCCCUGUUCUUAAGUGUAGGCUUGGGAUCCAGGCAAAUCCGGGUCCCUUUAGGCCGAGGCUGUAGGGGAGUGAGCCUUCGGGCGAGCGAAGGUCCAGAAUCUAGGCUACCAAGAAAAACUUCUAAACGCGAAACUGGGUGACCGUACCACAAACCGACACAGGUAGGCGUGGAGAGAAUCCUAAGGCGCUCGUGAGAAUCCUCGUUAAGGAACUCGGCAAAAUGGUCCCGUAACUUCGGAAGAAGGGACGCCUCAGUAGUGUGACAUCCCUGCGGGUGAAGCAUGAAGAGGCCGCAGAGAAACGGAUCAAGCGACUGUUUACCAAAAACACAGGACUCUGCUAAAUCGUAAGAUGAUGUAUAGGGUCUGACACCUGCCCGGUGCCGGAAGGUUAAGAGGAGGGGUUAGCCGCAAGGCGAAGCUCUGAAUUGAAGCCCCGGUAAACGGCGGCCGUAACUAUGACGGUCCUAAGGUAGCGAAAUUCCUUGUCGGGUAAGUUCCGACCUGCACGAAUGG